AGUGAACGCUGGCGGUAGGCCUAACACAUGCAAGUCGAACGGCAGCACAGUAAGAGCUUGCUCUUACGGGUGGCGAGUGGCGGACGGGUGAGGAAUACAUCGGAAUCUACUUUUUCGUGGGGGAUAACGUAGGGAAACUUACGCUAAUACCGCAUACGACCUACGGGUGAAAGCAGGGGAUCUUCGGACCUUGCGCGAUUGAAUGAGCCGAUGUCGGAUUAGCUAGUUGGCGGGGUAAAGGCCCACCACGGCGACGAUCCGUAGCUGGUCUGAGAGGAUGAUCAGACACACUGGAACUGAGACACGGUCCAGACUCCUACGGGAGGCAGCAGUGGGGAAUAUUGGACAAUGGGCGCAAGCCUGAUCCAGCCAUACCGCGUGAGUGAAGAAGGCCUUCGGGUUGUAAAGCCCUUUUGUUGGGAAAGAAAAGCAGCAGGUUAAUACCCCGCUGUUCUGACGGUACCCAAAGAAUAAGCACCGGCUAACUUCGUG
rnacentral:rRNA from 1 species